UAUUAAAUGGCUGAAAUUUUUGCAAAGUACCGUUAGCAUAGGGCUACAACCUCCUCCAUGAAAGAAGCUAUUGUUAGCAGCAAUGGGAGUAACUACAUAUACAUACUCCUUUUAUAGUCUGAAUGAAAGAAAUAAAACAAAAUAUAUUAUGCUGACUCUUACCAAGUCCUCUUCCAGUCUUUGGUGUUGGGAAGUCAACAAAUACCCAAACAGCCAAGACGUGACCAUUCUGUAUGGUCUACUGGCGUAGAUAAAAUUCCAAGGACAUCAUAUGGGUAUGUUAACAUGACUGGCUCUACAAAGGUCGAUGUUCCACAAGCACAACAAUUCCUCCUAGUCAGUCUUCAUGCAGUCAUGUUAAUCCAAGUUUGAUUGUAGACGUA
rnacentral:lncRNA from 1 species